AAGAAGUGGUGCUGUGAAGAGAACAACAGUCAGACUGAAUGUUGAACAUCAGCUGCUUUCUCCUGCUGAUUUAAACCUUGUUGGACAGAUGGAACAUUGGCUGUGGAUUAUUCUGGCUGCUCUUUUCUCUGAGUGUAAAGGAGAUUCAGUGAAGCAGACAGAAGGAGAACUUGUUGCUGCUGCAGGACAAUCACUGACUCUGGGAUGUACUUAUGAAGCAAAUUCCUUUUCAAAUCCAUAUCUGUUCUGGUAUAAACAAGAAGAAAAUAAACUCCCAAUCCAUAUACUGUCACGUGUUAAAGGAACAGGCGUGAACUCUAAGCUGUUCAACAAAGACAGAUUUGAUGCCAGUCUUGAAGAUGCUUCUAUUCCUCUGAAGAUCCAGGAUCUCCGUCCGUCAGAUUCUGCUGUGUACUACUGCGCUCUGCAGCCCACAGUGACAGGAAACACCAGAACCCUGUACAAAAACCUGCAGUACUCCACAGCAGCCACUAGAGGGACUCACUCCCUGUUGAGUCUUUGGACUGAAGACAGAGAAGAGAUGAUGUGACUGAGCUUAGUCUCAACCAUCAUCAUUAUCUGCUUUAGACUAUGGAAACUGGACAGGAUGAAGACAAAAACAAUAAGAAAACAAAGUUCUACAAUAAAAGUCUUUGCUGUUAAUGUUCAACAGGUUGAAGGUUCAGAUCCAUGAGCUUUAGUUGCUUUAAUUAGAAGAUUGUGAAAGUGUUUGACCAAAUAUCUCAGAUUCCCUCAGUACAUAGACUCAGAGGAAGAAGAUUAAAUAACAUGAACUUUAUUUAAAGAG